rnacentral:rRNA from 1 species
AUUGAACGCUGGCGGCAUGCCUAACACAUGCAAGUCGAGCGGAGCUGCCGACGGGCGAGUAAUGCCUAGGAAUCUGCCUGGUCGUUGGGGCUAACAUAAGGUAAGGAGCGCUGAUACCGCAUACUAUCAGCUGAGCCUUGUGUGUAUUAGCUAGUUGGUUUGGUAAAGGCGUACCAAGGCGACGAACCGUAACUGACCUGAGAGGCUGAUCAGUCACACUGGAACUGAGACACGGUCCAGACUCCUACGGGAGGCAGCAGUGGGGAAUAUUGGACAAUGGGCGAAAGCCUGAUCCAGCCAUGCCGCGUGUGUGAAGAAGGUCUUCGGAUUGUAAAGCACUGUAAGUUGGGAGGCGUUACCAACAGAAUAAGCACCGGCUAACUUCGUGCCAGCAGCCGCGGUAAUUC